UACGUAGGGUGCGAGCGUUGUCCGGAAUUACUGGGCGUAAAGAGCUCGUAGGUGGUUUGUCGCGUUGUCCGUGAAAACUCACAGCUCAACUGUGGGCGUGCGGGCGAUACGGGCAGACUGGAGUACUGCAGGGGAGACUGGAAUUCCUGGUGUAGCGGUGGAAUGCGCAGAUAUCAGGAGGAACACCGGUGGCGAAGGCAGGUCUCUGGGCAGUAACUGACGCUGAGGAGCGAAAGCGUGGGGAGCGAACAGG
rnacentral:rRNA from 1 species